rnacentral:rRNA from 1 species
UACGUAGGGGGCAAGCGUUGUCCGGAAUCAUUGGGCGUAAAGCGCGUGUAGGCGGUCCGGUAAGUCCUCUGUGAAAGUCCAGGGCUCAACCCUGGGAUGCCGGUGGAUACUGUCGGGCUCGAGUCCGGAAGAGGCGAGUGGAAUUCCUGGUGUAGCGGUGAAAUGCGCAGAUAUCAGGAGGAACACCAAUGGCGAAAGCGGCUUCCUGGACCAGUACCGACGUUCAGGCACGAAAGCGUGGGGAGCAAACAGG